UGGGAGGGCUCAUGCCAAUGAAUACUUCCCAGAACUGCUGUCAGUGUCUUUGAGCCACAGCUGCCACCCUGCCCCCCACCUCUGCAGGAGACACUCAAAUAAUACGAGGUUUUGUUGUAGGUGGAAGUCUGUAGCUCAAAAGGAAGUUAUCAAGAUUUUAUGUAAAGAUUUUGUGUUGGUGUAGUCAAACAUGGCAUGAAGACAACGCUAAACCCGAUACUAUGGAGGACAAUUUUUAAUCAGCUUACAGAGAUUUGGCAUUUAUCAUUCUUCCCUUCCUUCCCCCCACUUAAUGGCAUAUAAGGACUUCAAUGGUUAAGAUAUAGCCUUAAGUUGGCCCCUCAGCCACCAGAGAAUUGGAUUGUAUCUCUUAUAAGCAAGGAAGCUGUCCAUGUGGGAAGCAUCACUCCCAUGGGAUAUUUGUAUGACUGUUCAAAUUUAAACAAUAUAUCUGGGGAAA